AAGUCGUAACAAGGUUUCCGUAGGUGAACCUGCGGAAGGAUCAUUAAAGAAAUAACUCUAGACGGAAGUCUAGGAUUUCUUAAAGGCCUUUUUUACCUCUGCUUCCCCUUAAAAGGUUGCAUGUUCAAAAACUGGUUCUUUAUACACCUUGUGUGAAUUGUUGACUGUCUCUGGUGGGACUUUGAACCCACCAGUCUCUAGUGUAAACUUGGAGAGUGACUAAACGUUUAUAUUCAUUAUAAAAAAUUGAAUAAACAACUUUUGACAACGGAUCUCUUGGCUCUC
rnacentral:misc_RNA from 1 species